CAAGACAGGACAGAAAAAUGAUUGUAGGCGAAUGACAACUAAAGAGGAGAGAUGCUCUCUCUCUUUGCUGGUGCUCCUGCUCACCAGCAAAGUUCCCAGAUGUAAUUACUGGAUGUAAUGUCAUGAAUCAAGAAAAAAAACAACAACAAGAAUUUUAAGCUUGAAAGGUUUAAAAGAAUCUAAUACCUGAAGAACAGAGACUGCUGAGACCUGGGAAACUCACUUCCUUGGGAUCAAAUUCAGAAAAUGCUGUGAAUACUGUAUGCUUGGGAGGGAAAUAAAGAAUCAUGGCAUGCACUACCGCAGUCUUACUGUGGACACCAGCGAGAGAUGCUGAGCCUGAGAUGUCACCCUCACAACUCAUAAGACCUGCCCACCAAGUUGCAGAGACUACUAUGAUUCUAUCCUGACUUCACUGAGCAGAUGACCUCACCAAUGUGUCCUAGAGCCUUACCUUUCCAGAGCCCUGCCCCACUAGGGAAAGAUAGAAAUAAUCUGGGGAUAUGAAUUGACCUGCCAACAUCCG